GGAAAACUUACCAGGUCCAGACAUAGUGAGGAUUGACAGAUUGAGAGCUCUUUCUUGAUUCUAUGGGAGGGGGUGCAUGGCCGUUCUUAGUUGGUGGAGUGAUUUGUCUGGUUAAUUCCGUUAACGAACGAGACCCCCGCCUGCUAAAUAGGUCCGUGAAUGAAUUUCAUUGACGAGAUCUUCUUAGAGGGACUUUUGGUGACUAACCAAAGGAAGUUGGGGGCAAUAA
rnacentral:rRNA from 1 species